UUUCCGUAGGUGAACCUGCGGAAGGAUCAUUACAGAGAACUUGCCCUUCGGGGUAGAUUUCCCAACCUCUGCUUACCUUACCAUUGUUGCUUUGGCAGGCCCGCCCUUGUGGCCACUGGCUUCUGCUGGUCAGCGCCUGUCGAGGAUUCAAAACUCUUGUUUAAUUGUCGUCUGAGUACUAUAUAAAUAGUUAAAACUUUCAACAACGGAUCUCUUGGUUCUG
rnacentral:misc_RNA from 1 species